rnacentral:rRNA from 1 species
AUUGAACGCUGGCGGCAGGCCUAACACAUGCAAGUCGAACGAGAGGCGGACGGGUGAGUAAUGUCUGGGAAACUGCCUGAUGGAGGGGGAUAACUACUGGAAACGGUAGCUAAUACCGCAAAACAUCAGAUGUGCCCAGAUGGGAUUAGCUAGUUGGUGGGGUAACGGCUCACCAGGGCGACGAUCCCUAGCUGGUCUUAGAGGGUGACCGGCCACACGGGAACUUAGACACGGGCCAGACUCCGACGGGAGGCAGCAGUGGGGAAUGUUGCACAAUGGGCGCAAGCCUGAUGCAGCCAUGCCGCGUGUAUGAAGAAGGCCUUCUGGUUGUAAAGUACUUUCAGCGGGGAGGCGUUACCCGCAGAAGAAGCACCGGCUAACUCCGUGCCAGCAGCCGCGGUAAUUC